rnacentral:lncRNA from 1 species
ACUCAGGCACAGUCUGGGGAAGACUUUGGCCACAGCCCACACUACAAGGCUGUUUACCAAGCCUGCUGGAGCCUCUGAAGGGCAGCAGCCAGCUCACCCCCCAUGCCCUGGAUGGCAACAAGGCACAGGAGACCGCAGAGCAUACAAACAGGGCAAGAGGAAACCAUCUAUCAAUGACCAGGGACCAGAGGAAGCAAAGUUCUAACAUCUCGCUCACGUUCUCCCAAGGCCCAGAGCACUGUCUUCCUUAGAAUCAGGCAUAAAAUCAUGGGACUCCAAUGGAAGACUCAGGGGACCCUGACCCACGGCCAGGCAGACAGCCCCUCAUGGGCCCAGAUAACCCUUCAUCCAUAUGAAUUGAACACUGUAAGAUAUCCACAGCUUCAGUUCUCAUAGCUGGGACCUCUGCUUUAUGCCAUAAAGUUUACUGAGAAACAAGCAUUUGUUCACUCUUCUGGGCAGUGGGCACAGUGCUGCAUCUUUAUGAGGCUUUUGUGAGGACUAAAGAGACCCUAUAUGCUCAGUUCAUUAUAAGGGCUUAGCAGGUGCUAUUAACCUUUCCUUCUCACUGAAUCAGGCUGACACCCAGAGGAAGCACAGCCUCCCCUCUGAAGCUUCCUCUACUGCAGUCUCUGUGCUCAUCGCAAGGAUCUCUCCAUAUUGACUUAUAUUUGUUUCUGGUCUUAUAUUUUUCUCUAUGGACAGACUUCUAUUUUCAGAAGAUAGAUAUUUAAGUCACAAUAUUCUGGACUCUGGCUUAGUUAGACCAACCGUCUCUUGAUCGUCUGUGGAAACUGAAUCAGGAACACCCCAGAGAGCUGGCUCUGGAUGUAAUUCACAGCUUCAUUUAAUUAUUAUCAUCAAAGUUAAUGAAGGCCAUAAACUGUUUCAUAACAUACCAAUGGGAAGUGUGAUUGGAGGGAAAGCUGGACACCUCACCAUAAAACUGGCACAGCAGAAACGGCUCGACUUAACAAAACCUUCUUAUGAAGAAAAAGACAAUGAAACCAUGUUCAGUUUAGUGAACCUUUCACACUUGGCAACAUGAAUGUUAAGUCAAAAGAACAAUGGAGCUAUGAGUUUUUUUAAUCAAAUUUUUAUUUUGGGUCAAAUAAGCCAUUUUGUUUGUUUGUUAUUAAGUGUAAAGAGAGCUUUCGGUUAGCUAUUUAGUUAUAACUUUAUCUCACCCACUUCUAAAAAAGCGUUGAGGCUACUUGAAGUAAAGUCCUGUAGACGAGAGAGCGUAACACUAAAAGAUAGAAAGAAAACUUAGAAGAUGGAAGAGAAAUAAUUGCACUAGAAACCUGGCCAAUAUCAUGAACAGGCUCCAUAUAGGGACUCCUGUAUAUAGAUCGCUGUGUGUGUGGAUAGUACGUUCAAUAAAUGUAUUAUCUGAACUGCUUUUAAAGUUCUACUCUUGGAUUCCUGAAAUACUAUCUCUAUGGAUUUGCCUAUUCUGGAUGCUUCAUAUAGAUGGAAUCAUUCAUUACGCAACCCUUUGUAUCUGGCUUCUUUCAUUUAGCAUGAGGCUUUCCAGGUUCAUCCAUAUCAUAAGAAGUAUCAGUAUUUUACUCCACUUUAAAGUUCUGUAAUAGUUACUAUCUAUCUAUUUGGUAUACAUACAUGUAUAUAUUAAUUUUGCUUAUCCAUUUAUUCAUUUAUGAACAUUUGGAUUGUUUCUACCUCUUGGAAUUGUAAAUCAUGCUGUUAUGAACAUGGAUGUACACAU